CAGUCGCCGCGGUAAUACGUAGGUGGCAAGCGUUGUCCGGAAUUAUUGGGCGUAAAGGGCUCGCAGGCGGUUUCUUAAGUCUGAUGUGAAAGCCCCCGGCUCAACCGGGGAGGGUCAUUGGAAACUGGGAAACUUGAGUGCAGAAGAGGAGAGUGGAAUCCCACGUGUAGCGGUGAAAUGCGUAGAGAUGUGGAGGAACACCAGUGGCGAAGGCGACUCUCUGGUCUGUAACUGACGCUGAGGAGCGAAAGCGUGGGGAGCGAACAGGAUUAGAUACCCCUGUAGUCCCUGUCUCUUAUAC
rnacentral:rRNA from 1 species